rnacentral:tRNA from 1 species
GCGAGAAUGGUGGAAUUGGCAGACACGCUAGACUUAGGAUCUAGUGCCGCAAGGUGUGAGGGUUCGAAUCCCUCUUCUCGCACCA